UGGGGAAUAUUGGACAAUGGGCGCAAGCCUGAUCCAGCAAUGCCGCGUGAAUGAUGAAGGCCUUAGGGUUGUAAAGUUCUUUUAGUGGGAAAGAAAUUGACGGUACCCACAGAAAAAGCUCCGGCUAACUCUGUGCCAGCAGCCGCGGUAAUACAGAGGGAGCUAGCGUUUUUCGGAAUUAUUGGGCGUAAAGAGCGCGUAGGCGGCUAAUUAAGUUGAAAGUGAAAUCCCAGAGCUUAACUCUGGAAUUGCUUUCAAAACUGAUUAGCUAGAGUUUGGUAGGGGAUGAUGGAAUUCUUGGUGUAGGGGUAAAAUUCUUAGAUAUCAGGAGGAACACCGGUGGCGAAGGCGAUCAUCUGGGCCAUAACUGACGCUGAUGUGCGAAAGCGUGGGGAGCAAACAGG
rnacentral:rRNA from 1 species